rfam:Gossypium hirsutum cultivar TM-1 unplaced genomic scaffold scaffold457.1, whole genome shotgun sequence
AUUCCAUGAUGAGGGCACUUUCGUAAUAACUCUUCCAUGCCUCAUACAAGGACUCAUCAUCCAUUUGUUGGAAGGCAGUGAUCUCGUUCCUUAACUU